rnacentral:rRNA from 1 species
UACAGGGGGGGCAAGCGUUGUUCGGAAUUACUGGGCGUAAAGGGCUCGUAGGCGGCCAACUAAGUCAGACGUGAAAUCCCUCAGCUUAACUGGGGAACUGCGUCUGAUACUGGAUGGCUUGGAUUUGGGAGAGGGAUGCGGAAUUCCAGGUGUAGCGGUGAAAUGCGUAGAUAUCUGGAGGAACACCGGUGGCGAAGGCGGCAUCCUGGACCAAUAUUGACGCUGAGGAGCGAAAGCCAGGGGAGCAAACGGG